rnacentral:rRNA from 1 species
CAUGGGCAGGUUGAAGGUUGGGUAACACUAACUGGAGGACCGAACCGACUAAUGUUGAAAAAUUAGCGGAUGACCUGUGGCUGGGGGUGAAAGGCCAAUCAAACCGGGAGAUAGCUGGUUCUCCCCGAAAGCUAUUUAGGUAGCGCCUCGUGAAUUCAUCUCCGGGGGUAGAGCACUGUUUCGGCUAGGGGGCCAUCCCGGCUUACCAACCCGAUGCAAACUGCGAAUACCGGAGAAUGUUAUCACGGGAGACACACGGCGGGUGCUAACGUCCGUCGUGAAGAGGGAAACAACCCAGACCGCCAGCUAAGGUCCCAAAGUCAUGGUUAAGUGGGAAACGAUGUGGGAAGGCCCAGACAGCCAGGAUGUUGGCUUAGAAGCAGCCAUCAUUUAAAGAAAGCGUAAUAGCUCACUGGUCGAGUCGGCCUGCGCGGAAGAUGUAACGGGGCUAAACCAUGCACCGAAGCUGCGGCAGCGACACUGUGUGUUGUUGGGU